UUUCGUCUCUCAGCUACACCAUUCAUCGUAGGACUUCCUGGCAUAGUAUAUUGAGGGACAAUCCCACACUCAUCUAGGAAUUUAGCAAAUGGCCCUGGACCUUAUUCACCUGAACCAUCAUAUCGACCAUAGUAUUCACCACCACGGUCAGAUCUAACGGAUUUAAUUCUUUUGCUUAGUUGAUUUUCAACUUCAGCCUUAAANN
rnacentral:lncRNA from 1 species